ensembl:misc_RNA Metazoa_SRP Metazoan signal recognition particle RNA
GCCAGGCGUGGUGGCGUGUGCCUAUAGUCCCAGCUACUCGGGAGGCUGAGGUGGGAGGAUCGCUUGAGCCCAGGAGUUCUGGGCUGUAGUGUACUAUGCCGAUCGGGUGUCCGCACUAAAUUCGGCAUCAAUAUGGAGACCUCCCAGGAACGGGUGACCACCAGGUUGCCUAAGGAGGGGUGAACGGGCCCAGGUCGAAAACAGAGCAGGUCAAAACUCCCAUGCUGAUCAGUAGUGGGAUCGCGCCUGUGAAUAGCCACUGCACUCCAGCCUGGGCAACAUAGUGAGACCCCAUCUCUA